CUACGGGUGGCUGCAGUGAGGAAUAUUGCACAAUGGGGGGAACCCUGAUGCAGCAACGCCGCGUGGAGGAUGACGCAUUUCGGUGUGUAAACUCCUUUUAUAUGUCAAGAAAAUGACGGUAGCAUAUGAAUAAGCACCGGCUAACUCCGUGCCAGCAGCCGCGGUAAUACGGAGGGUGCAAGCGUUACUCGGAAUCACUGGGCGUAAAGGACGCGUAGGCGGGUUGGAAAGUCAGGUGUGAAAUCCUACAGCUUAACUGUAGAACUGCACUUGAAACUUCUAAUCUAGAGUAUGGGAGGGGGAGAUGGAAUUAGUGGUGUAGGGGUAAAAUCCGUAGAUAUCACUAGGAAUACCUAAAGCGAAGGCGAUCUCCUGGAACAUUACUGACACUAAGGUGUGAAAGCGUGGGGAGCAAACAGGAUUAGAUACCCUCGUAGUC
rnacentral:rRNA from 1 species